GUCCACUGCGGUUCCGCCGUGCCAAGGGGAGCUUGGCUGUUCACGGGCCUCACCUGCUAGCGAGAAGAUAGCUUGGCCGGGCGGCUGAUCUCACCUUGUAAUUCUGACACUGUGUCUCCCGGGCUUGUCGGCUUCAUGACUUGUGCCCAAAGUUUGAUUUCUCGCAGACCAGGAGGACCCAUUGGACCCCCGGGCUGGCUGCAGGGCCCACACCUGGGUUAGACCUCGCACAGGGACGCUGCUGCCACUGUAAUAAAGCGUGCCUACACGCUUCUGAAACUGGUGUAGGAACAACCUCAGUUCUGUGAAAGGCGGACGCAGCAGGACAGAAUCUCCGUGGACAUCUGUCUGGAGGAGCAAUUUUACUGCGACAUUUUAAAGAAACAAAUUUAAUUGAUUUCCAAGGGUGUCCAUCGCGCUUCCUUCACUGCCUUGAUCAUGUCGGGGUCACCACCUGCGGGGGUUUGUCCUGCAGACCCUGACUCAACGACGGAUGAAUAAUGUACACUGACACAGAUCUUAUGCUUGUCAGUCCUGCUGAGCAUCCAGGCCACUUACAGACUCCAAGAAGAGUCCUGUCAGCCACGGCUCUGACUUGUUGGCCCUCCCGGCAUUUAUUUAGCACACAUUUAAUGACAGAAGUCUCAGGCUGGAAACACUCUUUUUGUAGAACAUACAAAUGGACAUUUCUAAGCACAUUGAGGCCUAUAAUGAAAAAUCAAAUAUCCCACAAUGAAAACUAGAAGGAAGCUAUCUGUGAUAAUGCUUUGUGGUGUAUGGAUUCAUCUCACUGACUGAAACCUGAGUUUUGAUUCACCAGAAUCUAUGCAGGGACAUUUUUGUGCUCAUUGAGGCCUACUGUGAAAAACCAAACAUCAGGGGUGGAGCCAAAAAAGCCAAAUAGGAACAGCUCCAGUCUACAGCUCCCAGCAUGAGCCACACAGAAGAUGGAUGAUUUCUGCAUUUCCAACUGAGGUACCAGGUUCAUCUCACUGGGGAGUGUUGGAAAGUGGGUUCAGGACAGUGGGUGCAGGACACCGAGCAUGAGCCAAAAGAGGGUGAGGCAUCACCUCACCUGGGAAGCACAAGGGGUCAGGGAAUUCACUUUCCUAGUCAAAGAAAGUGGUGACAGAUGGCACCUGGAAAAUCAGGUCACUCCCACCAUAAUACUGCACUUUUCCAAUGGUCUUAGCAAAUGGCACACCAGGAGAUUAUAUCCCUUGCAUGGCUUGGAGGGUUCUACACCCAUGGAGCCUUGCUUAUUGCUAGCACAGCAGUAUAAGAUCAAACUGCAAGGUGGCAGAGAGGCUUGGGGAGGGGCACCCACCAUUGCCGAGGCUUGAAUAGGUAAACAAAGUGGCUAGGAAGCUCGAACUUGGUGGAGCCCACCACAGCUCAAGGAGGCCUGCCUGCCUCUGUAGACUCCACCUCCGGGGGCAGGACAUAGCCAAACAAAAGGCAACAGAAACCUUUGCAGAUUUAAUUGUCCCUGUCUGACAGCUUUGAAGAGAGUAGUGGUUCUCCCAGCACGCAGCUGGAGAUCUGAGAAUGGAGAGAUUGCCUCCUCAAGUGGGUCCCUGAACCCCAAGUAGCAUAACUGGGAAGCACCCCCCAGUAGGGGCAGACUGACACCUCACAAGGCCGGGUACUCCUCUGAGACAAAACUUCCAGAGGAACAAUCAGGCAUCAACAUUUGCUGUUCACCAAUAUCCGCUGUUCUGCAGCCUUUGCUGCUGAUACCUAGGCAAAUAGGGUCUGGAGUGGACCUCCAGCAAACUCCAACAGACCUGCAGCUGAGGGUCCUGACUGUUAGAAGGAAAACUAACAAACAGAAAGGACAUCCACACAAAAACCCCAUCUGUACGUCACCAUCAUUGAAGACCAAAGGUAGAAAAAACCACAAAAAUGGGGAAUAAAACAGAAAAGAAAAACUGGAAACUCUAAAAAUUAGAGUGCCUCUCCUCCUCCAAAGGAAUGCAGCUCCUCACCAGCAAUGAAACAAAGCUGGAUGGAGAAUGACUUUGACGACUUGAGAGAAGAAGGCUUCAGAUGAUCAAACUAUUCUGAGCUAAAAGAGAAAGUUCGAACCCAUGGCAAAGAAGUUAAAAACCUUGAAAAAAAGUUAGAUGAAUAGCUAACUAGAAUAGCCAAUGCAGAGAAGUCCUUAAAGGACUUGAUGGAGCUGAAAACCAAGGCACGAGAAAUACAUGAUGAAUGCACAAGCCUCAGUAACCAAUUCGAUCAACUGGAAGAAAGGGUAUCAGUGAUGGAAGAUCAAAUGAAUGAAAUGAAGUGAGAAGAGAAGCUUAUAGAAAAAAGAAUAAAAAGAAAUGAACAAAGCCUUCAAGAAAUAUGGGACUAUGUAAAAACCCCAAAUCUACAUCGGAUUGUUGUAUCCGAAAGUGACAGGGAGAAUGGAACCAAGUUGGAAAACACUCUGCGGGAUAAUAUCCAGGAGAAUUUCCCCAAUCUAGCAAGGCAGGCCAACAUUCAAAUUCAGGAAAUAACAGAGAAUGCUACAAAGAUACUCCUCGAGAAGAGCAACUCCAAGACACAUAAUUGUCAGAUUCGCCAAAUUUCAAAUGAAGGAAAAAAUGUUAAGGAUAGCCAGAGAGAAAGGUCGGGUUACCCACAAAGGGAAGCCCAUCGGACAAACAGCAGAUAUGUCAGUAGAAACUCUACAAGCCGGAAGAGAGUGGGGGCCAAUAUUCAACAUUCUUAAAGAACAGAAUUUUCAACGCAGAAUUUCAUAUACAGUCAAACUAAGCUUCAUAAGUGAAGGAGAAAUAAAAUGCUUUACAGACAAGCAAAUGCUGAGAGAUUUCGUCACCACCAGGCCUUCCCUAAAAGAGCUCCUGAAGGAAGCACUAAACAUGGAAAGGAACAACUGAUACCAGCCACUGCAAAAACAGGCCAAAUUGUAAAGACCAUUGAGGCUAGGAAGAAACUGCAUCACCUAAUGAGCAAAAUAGCCAGCUAACAUCAUAAUGACAGGAUCAAACUCACACGUAACAAUAUUAACCUUAAAUGCAAAUGGGCUAAAUGCUCCAAUUAAAAGACACAGACUGGCAAAUUGGAUAAAAGGUCAGGAGCUAUCAGUAUGCUGUAUUCAGGAAACACAUCUCACAUACAGAGACACACAUAGGCUUAAAAUAAAGGGAUGGAGGAAGAUCUACCAAGAAAAUGGAAAACAUAAAAAGGCAGGAAUUGCAAUCCUAGUCUCUGAUAAAACAGAAUUUAAACCAACAAAGAUCAAAAGAGACAAAGAAGGCCAUUAUAUAAUGGUAAAGGGAUCAAUUCAACAAGAAGAGCUAACUAUCCUAAAUAUAUAUGCACCCAAUACAGGAGCACCCAGAUUCAUAAAGCAAGUCCUUAGAGACCUACAAAGAGACUUAGACUCCCACACAGUAAUAAUGGGAGACUUUAACACCCCACUGUCAACAUUAGACAGAUCAACGAGACAGAAAGUUAGCAAGGAUAUCCAGGAACUGAACUCAGCUCUGCACCAAGUGGACCUAAUAGAUAUCUACAGAACUCUCCACCCCAAAUCAACAGAAUAUAAAUUCUUUUCAGCACCACACCACACUUAUUCCAAAAUUGACCACAUAGUUGGAAGUAAAGCACUCUUCCGCAAAUGUAAAAGGACAGAAAUUAUAACAAAAUGUCUCUCAGACCACAGUGCAAUCAAACUAGAACGCAGGAUUAAGAAACUCACUGAAAACCGCUCAAUGACAUGGAAACUGAACAACCUGCUCCUGAGUGACUACUGGGUACAUAACGAAAUGGAGGCAGAAAUAAAGAUGUUCUUUGAAACCAAGGAGAACAAAGACACAACAUACCAGAAUCUCUGGGACGCAUUCAAAGCAGUGUGUAGAGGGAAAUUUAUAGCACUAAACGCCCACAAGAGAAAGUAGGAAAGAUCUAAAAUUGACACCCUAACAUCACAAUUAAAAGAACUAGAGAAGCAAGAGCAAACACAUUCAAAAUCUAGCAGAAGGCAAGAACAACUAAGAUCAGAGUAGAGCUGAAGGAAAUAGACACGCAAAAAACCCUUCAAAAAAUCAAUGAAUCCAGGAGCUGGUUUUUUUAAAAGAUCAACAAAAUUGAUAGACCACUAGCAAGACUAAUAAAGAAGAAAAGAGAGAGGAAUCAAAUAGACUCAAUAAAAAAUGAUAAAGGGGAUAUCACCACCGAUCCCAUAGAAAUACAAACUACCAUCAGAGAAUACUAUAAACACCUCUACACAAAUAAACUAGACAAUAUAGAAGAAAUGGAUAAAUUCCUCGACACAUACACCUCCCAAGACUAAACCAGGAAGAAGUUGAAUCUUUGAAUAGACUAAUAACAGGCUCUGAAAUUGAGGCAAUAAUUAAUAGCUUGCCAAGCAAAAAAAGUCAAGGACCACAUGGAUUCAUAGCUGAAUUCUACCAGAGGAAAAAGGAGGAGCUGGUACCAUUCCUUCUGAAACUACUCCAAUCAAUAGAAAAAGAGGGAGUCCUCCCUAACUCAUUUUAUGAGGCCAGCAUCAUCCUGUUACCAAAGCCUGGCAGAGACACAACAAAAAAAAAGAGAAUUUUAGAACAAUAUCCCUGAUGAACAUUGAUAUAAAAAUCCUCAAUAAAUACUGGCAAACCGAAUCCAGCAGCACAUCAAAAAGCUUAUCCACCAUGAUCAAGUGGGCUUCAUCCCAGGGAUGCAACGCUGGUUCAACAUAGGCAAAUCAAUAAACGUAAUCCAGCAUAUAAACAGAACCAAUGACAAAACCAUAUGAUUAUCUCAAUAGAUGCAGAAAAAGCCUUCGACAAAAUUCAACAGCCCUUCAUGCUAAAAACUCUCAAUAAAGUAGGUAUUGAUGGGAUGUACCUCAAAAUAAUAAGAGCUAUCUAUGACAAACCCACAGCCAAUAUCAUAUUGAAUGUGCGAAAACUGGAAGCAUUCCCUUUGAAAACUGGCACAAGACAGGGAUGUCCUCUCUCACCACUCCUAUUCAACAUAGUGUUGGAAGUUCUGGCCAGGGCAAUCAGGCAGGAGAAAGAAAGUGUAUUCAAUUAGGAAAAGAGGAAGUCAAAUUUUCCCUGUUUGCCAAUGAGAUGAUUGUAUAUCUAGAAAACCCCAUUGUCUCAACCCAAAAUCUCCUUAAGCUGAUAGGCAACUUCAGAAAAGUCUCAGGAUACAAAAUAAAUGUGCAAAAAUCAGAAGCAUUCUUAUACAC
ensembl:lncRNA LINC00662 long intergenic non-protein coding RNA 662